AAACAUUUUUUUUUAAACGCUUUGCAACGGGAAAAUAAAAAUGUGUGUUUAUUGUCCAGGUAGUAUCUCCCUGUUUCAGUUGCCUUUCCCCUUCUCUUCUGUAUUGUGCCUUGAACACAACCCUGCUGAAAGCUGAAAUAAAUCCUCCUGCUGAUUCAUAUAAUCACCAUUAGAGAGCGGUGGUGUCACAGGUGCGUUGUUGGGCACACAGUAGGGUACUUAUUACCUGAUGGCAGAGGGAUCCUGGGAAAGAGAGGUGAAAGGGGUCAUGCUGACCCAUACAAACGGGGCACUGUGUGUGUGUGUGUGUGUGUGUGUGUGUGUGUGUGUGUGUGUGUGUGUGUGUGUGUGUGUGUGUGUGUGUGUGUGUGUGUGUGUGUGUGUGUGUGUACGCACGCAUGACCACUGUCUGGGAGUUGAGAGUUGAACUAUAGCAUUUUGAAUGAAGGGGGAGAGAGUUGAACCAUAGCAUUUUGAAUGGAGGGAGAGAGAGUUGAACUAUAGCACUUUGAAUGGAGUGAGAGAGAGUUGAACCAUAGCAUUUUGAAUGGAGGGAGAGAGAGUUGAACCAUAGCAUUUUGAAUGGAGGGAGAGAGAGUUGAACUAUAGCAUUUUGAAGGAAGGGGGAGAGAGUUGAACAGAGUGAAAGGCAGUAGGAAGUACUACACCGGUAACCUCGCUCCCUCUCUUGAGUAGCAAACAGAGGUCCCUGUAAUUGUGUGAUUCCUGGGGCCUCAAAAAAGGCAUGUUUUGAGUGGAACAACACACACACACACACACACACACACACACACACAGGCCAUGCUUGUUUGGCGAGCCUGCAGGUGAUGAAGGUAUGCACUGUAGAGACCUAAGAGAGAUAUUGACUUGCUUCUUUUUUCACUUUGCGAUUCCAGGAGGGGGUACAAAUAUACUGAAUAGGGAGUUUGUACACACACUGUCAAUGUUGCUAGUUGUUGAUACCUGAACCCCCCGUCAAUGUUGCUAAAUGUUGGAUUAAGGUUGUUGAUACCUGGACCCCUCGUCAAUGUUGCUAAAUGUUGGAUUAAGGUUUUGAUAUUUGAACCCCUCGUCAAUGUUGCUAAGUGUUGGAUUAAGGUUUUUGCAAUAUUGCCAUAUGAUCUACCCAGUAUAAUACUGUGUAAAAUGUAAUAAAUAUAAAAUACAAGUACCUAAAUGAAA
rnacentral:lncRNA from 1 species